rnacentral:lncRNA from 1 species
GUCUCUCCCCGCUCUGUACCUUCUCUCCACUCGACACGGUGCCAGGGUGCUUUCCCCUCGUGGGAGGAGCUCUGGACCUGAGCCACCUUCCCAAAACCAAGGACUCUGGGUUUAAAGGGAGGAAUUGAGGGGCGAAUGAGAGAGGGAAAGCCCACCAGCCUCAGGGGCCUGGCUCAGACCCGGCACCCUCACGUCCACUGCGUUCUCUGGUCAGAGCAAGCCUCAGGCGCACCUGGAUCAAGGGCAGGGAACAGGCGCCCCGCCCCUUGAGGAGGGAGCUGCAAUGUCAUUGUGAAGGGCUUGGAGACAGGGAGGAGGAAAGCUUCCAGCCGCUGUGUGCGGUCCACCUCCAGCCACCGCUGAGGGCUCUGGGUCCACACCCACCGCUCCUCCUGUGAGCCCGGAGGGUCAGCAACAAGAGGCGUCACACGUGAGGAAGAGGCUGGGGGGAACCGCCGCACGGCAGUGAGAGUACAUGCUGGGAUAGAAUCGAUUUGUGAAGGAGACUGAGGGUGGUGGCUGGGCCUCCAGAACACCAGAUGAGGACUUUGUUACUAACAACAGCCUCUGCCUGAAUGCUGGCUGCCAGGCAACCACUGCCAAUCCUCCAACCACCUAGCAAGGGAAGUAUUGCUAUUUCCACUUAGCAGAUGAAGACAGCAGUUCAGAGAGGUUAAGUAAGUUGCUCAGAGCCACACAGCAUUCCUACCAACUCUGUCCUACUCCGCCGCCAGGACUCUUCCAGCCGCAACUCAGUCUCUUCCGGGUUGCUCUGUCCUGGGUUGGGCCGCGCACCUCCUAGGACUUCUCAGGCCCAGGAAAACAAGGUCCCAGGAGCCUUCCAGUAAGUUCAGAGGGUUUCUGGCUCAUCCAUGAGCAAACAGGGACAAGUGGCUUCAGUCCUGUUCCUCCCCGCUGCCACCCACCCUGCCAGGUUCCUUCCCCACCUCGGUCACCAAACCAGCGCAGUUUGUUCUCCAGAGCACGUCGGCGUGAGCCCUGGGCUGGUGAGCACAGCCGCUCCCUGGUCUUUGUGUUUCUGGGAGUCCCCAGGCCAGGGCUGCAGGACUUAGGAAGGCCAGGCAGGGUGUUUGUAACACUUCAGGGGUGGUGUCCUGUAUGGCUUCCGCGUGUCCCCUCUGGUGAUGAGGAUCUGUCUCCUCUGCAAUGAACUGAUGAGAAGGGAGGAGCCGGGAGCGGCUCUGAAGGGGCCCCGCCCUCUCCACUCUGCCUGAGGCCUUGCCCCUGGGAGGGGUUCGCACAGCCCUGGACACUGCUCUGUGAGGCAUCGGCAACACACUUUGGUCAACGAGCCCUUCUAGAGGCUGACUAUGUGUCGUCAUUGUGCUGGUCACUGGCGAUCCAGACACUCGCCAAGCCCCGGCCCUGCCUGCCCCUCCGGCCAUCGCUGAGCAGAGGGCAGCAGGGAGGCCAGUGGGCACGGAGGGGAGCAUCCUCCCCCUCCCCCCCCCCCUCCAGACUGUUCAGGGC